UAUCGGAGUAAUUCUUCAAUCAAAAUAUCAUCAUCUUCCUCAAACAAGGAACAAAGCAAAAAGAUGUACCUGGCUUCAUCACUUUCCAAAUGAUUAUAGCUUACCUUCAGAGGUUGAUAUACAUUUGUAAGCACUCCUGGGAUGUUUCUUGGUGCUGAUUUUUGUAACUGUUUAAGGGCAUCCUCCCACGAAGGCUUGGUUUUACGCUUUAGUGCUCCCGCAACUGUAACAAUUGCAAGCGGCAACCCUCUGCAUUCUUCAGCAACAUCUUUUGCUAUGGGAAGAAGAGAAGGAUCGUCAACCGAAUUACCGACUUUCUGCCUGAAAAGGAAGCCAUGCUUCCUUUUCAGGUAAAAUUCCAACUUCUAUGAUCUUUUGAGCCUCCAUAGCAUCACAAACAUCUCGGAGACGCGUUGUCAAUGUAACUUUGCACCAAUAGUUGUGGUCGUUACAUCUGGGAAUCCGAGCCUCUUUAAAUCAACAACCUCCCAAACAUCAUCCAAAAUUACAAGAACGUGACUAUCCUUAGACAUUAACCUUGAACGCAGCCGAUCUCCACGCCGCAACAAAUCGUCCCCUUCUAAUGUCAGACCGACUCCUCUGGCGAUCUCACCCUGUAUUUUUUUCAAGUUUAAUUGUUGACUGACAGUGACCAUGACAACAUCAUUAAACAACUUUUCUUGUCUCACCCUUCGUCUGAUUUUCUCGACCAUUGUUGUUUUACCAACACCACCCAUACCACAUAUUCCAACAAUAUUGACCCUUUCAUUUCUCAAAGCUUCCAUGACCUCGUCCUCUUUCAAUUUUCUAGAGUCAAUCUCCUCAUCGCUGCUACUAUGUAUAGCUUCAAUUUCAACUGCAGGUGGUGCUGGAUAGCAAAAAGCAGCAUAAUCUUUGCCUUUAGUGUGAAGAUCAAUCAUAGCUUGUUCAAUUUUCUUAGCUCUCCUGCUCAGCGUGUAACGUGACUUCAAGUUCGGACACCAACCAUAGAAACAACCUCUUUCAACCUCUGCUCUACCUUGCAUGACACCUUCUGCAUCUGCAAUAGUGGUAUCAACACUAGUUAACCAAGCCUCAACAUUGGGUGAAAUGACUUGUAAGUUUCUCCGGGCAGCCUCCACUCCUGGCUGCACACCUCUUCUGAUAUUCUCUAGCUUCUCAGAUUCGUUUUCCACAGAUCUGAUGUUGCUUUUGUAGUAAAAUAAAUACCCAAUUCCUUGCUCCAUAGGCUUCAUCAAGUAAUCUGUGACUUUCCCCACUAACAUAGAUAAGAAUUCCAUAGUUCUCCUUUGUUACCAGUUCAGUAGCUAGUAUAGUUUAGUAACAAGACUUUUUUCUACACUGAAGUCUGGAUUUUGCUGUUGUUUUUUUUUCUAAUUCUCUCUUAGUUGCUGGGAAGUAAAGGUGAUAUGAACUGAAAAUGACUGCUGAAAGAACGGCAACGUAUAAUUUAGUAGGAAAAUGAAAGAUCAAAGAGCGAAAGUGGAGAGUUUGGUAUAAUAAUGAAAAAUAAGAGAGCGGGAAUGGAGAAUUUGGUAUGAAAAUGAAAGAUCAGAGGGCGGAAAUGGUGAAUGAGCUAUGAAAAAGAAAGAGUAACAAUGUUGGUGAAUUUGGUGUGAAAAUUAAAGUUAAAAGAGUGAGAAUUUGCUUGUGUUUAUCCAAUCAAUAUAUUCACAGAGAUUUAUAAGCUGUGCAUUCAGGCUUGAGAGAAUAACAAGAGGAAGAGUGGGGUCAAAAUGAUAGCAUUAAAGUGAAAGUGAUAUUAUUUAACAUUUUAAAAUAGUAAUUCCAUAUCUUGCUUUACUCAAAACUCAUAUUUGAAGACUUUCCCAAAAUAUAUGCUUUUCUUGCAAUGGCAGACACUAUAAAGAAGUAAAAAGGGAAUGCAAUUGUUGCUUUUCAUAAUUACUUAUAUAUAUANNNNNNNNNNNNNNNNNNNNNNNNNNNNNNNNNNNNNNNNNNNNAUAUAUAAAAGUAGAAUAUAUAUAUAUAUAAGUAAAAUUGAAAGACAUCAUAAUGAUUGCCAACAAGCUAAACGGUUCUAUUUCUACUUAACUAAUGAAAAGCUAUGCAAAAUAAAGUAUAAGCUUCCUAUAAACUAAUCUUGAAUAAAGUCAGGCCCUUCUGGCAAUUGAAAAUUUUAGUCCUCUAAUGAUUCUUUUGUAUAAAUUAGUUUUUAUCCUCCAAUGAAAUCGAUGGAGUUUGAACACGAAUCACGCGACUGCUAGUCUUGCUUCAAUAGACUUAAAGAUGAUAUUCUUAGGCAAUAAAGAGUAAAAGUAUAUAGAACAGAGUAAAGCGUCCAAUUCAGAUAUCGAAUCAAAAUAUGAUAAUUUAUUUCAAAACAGACUAAAAAAGUAAAAGAAAUUGAAAGAAAGAAGGGGCGGGUUGGGAGCGGCGCGCGAGUGGUUUAUAUUGCGAUACAAACUUCCAUAUGUAUGUUUCUUCUCGAGUUUUGGCUUCCAUUAUUGUACAAGGUGCGUAUUUUACAAAUCAUCUCUUUUAAGCUGGGACUAUACUGUGUAUGUUGUUUCUACGUACUUGUCUAACAAUUCAUAACUCCUCUUAAAGAUGAAUAAUCUUAUCCUAGAGCUAUAAUAUAUGUAUGACGAUCUCAAAAGUGGUAGGGACUUUGUUGAGCCUGUGUUGGUUUGCAGACCUUAAAACAUAUUUCAUGAUCUAUUGCUUAAGUUUUCAGGACUAGUCAUAUUUCUACCAAAUUUUAACUUGAAAAUCAGUCCUUAAUUCAUCAUUAUGUUAAUAGUACAUAAGCGAAUACCUUUUAUGUCUGUCAUAUUAACAUGUUUCUUCUGUUGAGCUAGGUUGCUCAAACUCUCGUGUUGCCUCAUCCAAGUCUGAUGAUCCAAAAUGCCGUAUUUUGGAAGGAUCGGCUUUUGAAGAGUAAUACUGUGUUUCCAUAAUACUGUGUACCUUUUAUUGAUUUCAUUUGAUUCAUGACCAUGUUUCCGUAAUACUGUGUAUCUUCCGCAUUUCUUUUAUCAUAUGAAUUAUGUGCAUGAUUACCAGAUAGAUAGGGGUGUUUCGGGCCUUCGUGGUUCGGGAUACUCGUCACGGCCAGGGCCCCAAUUCGGGUCAUGACAGUAUUGAUCGUAAGAGUCUUUUCUUGGGAACUCUUCCGAGUUCACAUCGUGACUUACUGUUAGAGUACGCGUCCUACUAAUUGCCUAUUUGUGGAACAAGUAAGUAAACGUCGUUCACAGAAGUAAACUGAACACAGUGUUUUUACAUGAAAAACACCCGGCUCAAGAAAGGUGUAAAAAACCACGACCUGUACCUCAACAGGAUUUAACUCAACUUCACUAAAAUACUUGAGCCUCAACAAUCUACAAAAUUACAAGACUUCUUGUAACCUAGAAAUUAAAACUUCUAACUCCUAUUAAUACAAAAACACUAAUCUUCCCAAGAUAAGUGUUCCCAAGUCUUCGAGUUCCCAAACUUGAAGACGACAACUCCUAACUCAGUUUAUAGAUUACUGAGACUAGAAUCAAUGACUCAUUACAAUACCAGAACCUAACUACUACACAGUUUAUGACCUGCUAAGUAAGAGUCUUGGUUCUUCUACAAGUAUGUAUGCUGAUUGUUGAUUAACUUUUUCAGUACGUGCGUGAGUGAUGGCUUUGAGUCAUGCUUGCUGUAUUUAAGCCAACCUGUGAUAGAGUCCUUUUUUAUGUUCAAUUCUUUCUUCAGUAGAACUCUAUUAGUUAAUUCUUUUCCCUUUUGCUGCCGCCUCAUCUUUCCUAGUUUUGAUAGGAUUCUUUUAAUUCAAAUCCUCUUCUUACGGAACUCCUUGAUCAACUUGACUUCUUCAAGACUUCUAGUCUGAUCUAACUCGGCUUCUGAUGUAAUCAAUGUUAUCUAAGUUUGUCUUGAACACAUAAUCAUAUCAUCCAAACUCCUGUGCCAGCUAGACUAUUUCACCUUGAAUGGACCAGCUUCUUCGACGUGUUUCAUUCACAUGUCUAUCAUCAAAACUCCUCAUGCCCUAAAAAAUUCCCCCUUUUUGAUGAUGAAAAACAUAGUAGCUUCAGUAUUAUAGAAUCCUGACAAACUUAAGAAGGAAUUAAACAACAGAAUCACAGUAGAAUGAAACAGGUUAGUCCAAUUGAGUUAUAAGCAUUGUAUAAUCUGUUCUUCCUUCUUUUGACAUCAUCGAAAAGCUGAGCCAUCAAGUAAAAUUUGUUUAAUAAUUCAUGGCCACUGGGGCUAUCACUAAAACAAGCAAGAUUUAGAGCAAGAGAUAACUAUGCAUUGAAUUAAGCAGAAGUAGAUCAAGUGAAGCAAAAGAGGUCCAUUUAAAAAAAAAACAGAUACAAUUAUUGCUACCUAGUAUAACAAAAAGAGAAACAAGGUAAACAGGAGAGCAUCAUAGUGAAUGGGUUUAAAGGAUGAAGAAGGAUUUUAAUUGGAGGAGGUGGAGGGAAUAAGAGAGGUCAAGUUCCUAAUGAUAUCAACAUUUUCAGUGCGUUCCUUAUCCAAGAUUUUUGUAAGGGAUGCAAUUUUAGCUUCAAGAACCCUCUUUUUAUCUUUAUGAAUAGCUUGGGCAGCUACCAAUGUAGCCUGUGCACCCUCUAGCUCACCCUGCUUUGCCUCUAAGGCAUUUUCCAACUUUUGCAUAGGGUUGUCAACAUGUCUCAGGGUAGCAGUUAACCUAGCAUGAUUCAGUUGUCUAAUCACAUCCUUAGUCGUCUGUAAGGACCAUACCUUGACAGGUACAUAAAAAUCAUCGAAAACAGAUGCAAACCAGAACUGAUAGGGAAGAGCAUGACCAUUUAUAUCUUUAACAAGUACCCUUCGCAUAUGCUUAAUGAUGAGUAGAGGAAGGUCUAUUGGAAUCUCAGAAUCCAAUAGUUCCAUCAAGGUAAGAUCAAGAAAACUUGCAACUGUGCGCCUUUCCUGUCGAGGAAAGAUCAUUUUUUAAACCACAUCAAAAUAGGACUGAUAGAGAGGGGACAUCUCAUUUUUCAUGACCCUACGAUGAGAGAAAAGAAAAGGAUUCCGAUAGAAUUUUCUACAAAUAUCAAGAGCGGAUGGAAGAUUAUCAAGAGGUGGUCAAGAUCCCUUCACAUAAUGACACCAACCACCAGUUGGAGCACUGAGAAUUCUACCCAGAUCAGCAGGAUAAAGAUUGAUGGUUUUCCCAUGAACUGUGGUUGAAAUUAUUUCCCCAAUUGCAACUCCAUUGGUAUAAAACUCAUACACCUCAUUUUUACCAAAUCUUCUCUGAUGAUCACCUUGAAGAAACAAGGAUGACCACCCCUGUGCUGUUAGUUUUUAAACUAACGUAUCCAUAGAAGGACCCCCAAACCCAGUGACAACUCUUCCUCUAGUCAUCUUUCAUUUCUGAAAGUGCAGAACAUGGUUUGACUGAGAAGUUUUAUCUGCAGCAGUAUCAACAUGAAUAUCAUCAUCAGAGUCAAUGGAAGUAGGAGAAACAGGAGGAGUAUCAGGAAGAUAGUCUGAAUCUGAGUCAGAUGGAUCAGAAGAACUAGGAUGUGUAACUUGUUUCUUGGGAUGAGAAGUAGAUUUUGGAGAAAAUUUAGAGGAGGUGGAUCCUUGACCAGUAGUGACUUUGACAGUAUAUUUUGAGGAUGAUGAGGGUUUGGGAGAGGAGAAGGACUUUGAGGGUUUUCCUAUGAUAUUCUUGUGUUUUUUUGGAGCGGAGGAGAAUAUCAGGAGAGGGCUCACGUGGGGGAGUAGAAGCAGUAGACGCUACUUGUUUUUUUUACUUGCCCUAAGUGCCUCUUCCAAAGAAGCACCUUCUCUUUGUUUUCGUCCCCGAGUAUGUGGAGUUCGGAAUGAAUGGAUGACAGAAGAAGAUUUUACCUGGGUAUCAAUGUCAACAUCAAUGGGGACAGAAGACGGUUUUAUUUUCAGAGUUGAGCGUGACCGUCUAGGGAUAAGAUCAGCAAUGGGAAUAUCAUUGCAAUUAAGGAUCUGAAGAGGAAGCACAGGUAAUGGUAAGGGUUUUGAAAAAAUAGAGGGUUUGAAGAAGGAGUGAAAGGAUAGUUGUGGUGGAGGUUUAAAUAAUGGAAAAUCAGAUAACUUGAUAGGGAUUUGGGGUUGGUUAAGGAAAGGUAAAGUAAUGUUUGGAUGAAGAAUAAUUUGGGUUGAAGGUUUUGUUUCAGAUUUUAUGGAGGAAGGAGAGGAUGAGGAAGAUGCCAUAGCUUGUUGGAUUUUCAGAGGUUGAGAAAGAAAUAGAGAUGGAAGAGAAAAGAAGGUGAGUAUGUAAGAGGAGUGAGAAAGAAGUUGAAACAUGAAGGGACUGUGAUACAAAGAAACGUGUUGAUGUAGAGGUUCUGUACUGAUGAAAAAGGUAUGUCAGCCUUUUGAAGAAGAGGACGGUUGGGUUUGGUGGUUAUAAUCAUGACAGAGUGAACCAUGUAGAUAACCUAUUUCUCUUAAUGCUACUAUGGAAAACAAUAAUCAUACCUUGUGUUCUGAUUAGUCCAUGACCACUCGUGCCUUAAUGAUCCAAUCGAUCUAUAAAAAACAACACAUAAUUAUACCACCUUGCUUUAAAAUCUUGGAAUUAGGAUACACAACUAGAUGUGUAAGACUGAAUUAAUCAACGCUCACUAAGGCAUAGCAUAUUCUAGUCAAUCAUUGAGGGAGAUUUAUACAAUUUUAUCAUCCCUAAUGCUAACCUAUUUUUUUCAAAGUGGUCUCUACUCAAAGCCUUAGUAAAUAUGUCAGCAAUUUGUUCCUCAGUUGAACAAAACAUAAUUGAUAUAUUUCCUUUUUAAACAUUAUCUCUAAGGAAGUGAUGGCGAAUAUCAAUAUGCUUAGUUCUCUUAUGUUGGACAGGAUUUUUGGCUAUGUUUAUGGCACCAGUGUUAUCACAAAAAAUGGGAGCACAACCUACAUCUACCCCAAAAUCCAUGAGUUGUUGUUUGAUCCACAACAAUUGGGCACAGCAUGACCCAGCAACAACGUAUUUAGCCUCAGCAGUAGACAAGGCUACUGAAUUUUGCUUCUUUGCGGACCAAGUAAUCAAACAUAAUCCCAAGAAGUGUGCCAUACCUGUAGUGCUUUUCCUGUCCACCAGAUAUCCUACAUAAUCAGCAUCAGAGUAUCCUACCAAGUUAAAGUUACUACCUUUGGGAUACCACAAGCCAAGAUCACUGGUUCCUUUUAAGUAUAUGAAGAUUCGUUUUACAGAUUUUAAAUGUGAUUCCUUUGGCUUAGCUUGAAACCUUGCACAUAGCCUUACACUGAACACAAUGUCAGGCCUGCUUGCUGUGAGGUACAAUAAUGAACCUAUCAUACCUCGAUACAUCUUUUGCUCCACAUCUGAACUUGUUUCAUCCAAGUCUAGCUUCGUGGCAGUAGCAAUAGGAGUAUUUAUCUCUUUUGCCUCUUCCAUGACGAAUUUCUUGAGAAGCUCUUUGAUAUACUUCUGUUGGUGAAUCAUUGUUCCUAAGGUUGACUGCUUUAUUUGCAAGCCCAAAAAGUAAUUUAUCUCUCCCAUCAUGCUCAUCUUAAAUUCACAACUCAUGAGUUUGGCAAAUGCAUGAGUCAUAAGCAUAUUUGUUGAGCCAAAAAUAAUAUCAUCCACAUACACCUGCACAACUAACAAAUCCUUCCCAUUAGUUUUCAAGAAAAGGGUAUUGUCAAUUUUACCUCUGGUAUGUCCAUGUUCCAAUAGAAAUUUGGACAGUCUUUCAUACCAAGCUCUUGGAGCUUGUUUCAAUCCAUACAAAGCUUUGUCCAGCUUGUAGACAUAGUUUGGAAACUCCUUUCUUUCAAAUCUUGGGGUUUGCUUAACAUAUACUUCUUCCUUGAGAAUGCCAUUCAGAAAUGCACUCUUCAUAUCCAUCUGAUACAAAAUAAACUCCAUGUAAGAAACAAAGGCAACAAGUAGUCUUAUAACUUCAAGUCUGGCUACAGGACCAAAGGUCUCAUCAAAGUCAAUUCCUUCUUCUUGAUUGUAUCCUUGAACCACCAGUCUUGCCUUAUUUCUUGUGACUGUUCCAUUCUCAUCAACUUUAUUUAUGUACACCCACUUAGUCCCAAUUACUUAUCUUUCUUUUGGAAGAGGAACUAAGUGCCAUACUUUGCUUCUCUCAAAUUGGUUCAAUUCAUCCUGCAUAGCUAUGAUCCAAUCAAUAUCAAGCAAUGCCUCAGUUACCUUUUUUGGCUCUAUCUCUGAUAGAAAUUCCUUGAAUGCACACAUACUUCUUAGUCCAGAUCUUGUGGUGAUACCAGAAUUGAGAUCAGUAAGUACAUUUUCAAUGGGGUGUGAGCCUUGAUAUUUGAAUCCUUUUGGGAUUAAUCCAAGUGAGCUGCUAGGAUCACUGCUGAUGUUCUGAUGAGAUUCAGUUGAUGGCUUAGUUCGCCCUAUUACUGUACCUUCAGCUUCAGUUCCCCUAUGAAAAUGCCUCCAGGUUUGAUUGUUUGAGUCACUGGAACAUGUUGUGCAAUCUAUUCCUCAGUAUUGCUUCCUUCCUGCAGGUUAGUCCUAUUACAGAAUUCAUCAAACAUCACAUGCAUGCUUUCUUCAACACAGUUGAAUCUGUUAUUCAAAACCCUAUAGGAUUUACUAUGUGGUGAAUAACCUAAGAAGAUCCCCUCAUCACUUUUGGCAUCAAAUUUUCCAAGAUUAUCCUUACCAUUAUUGUGUAUAAAACAUUUGCAGCCAAAAGUUCUAAAGUGAGAAAUGUUAGGCUUUCUGCCUUUUAGUAACUCAUAGGAAGUCUUGUCUAACAUUGGUCUGAUCAUGCACCUAUUCAUAAUAUAUGUUGUAGUACUCAUUGCCUCAGCCCAUAGGUUUUUUGGCAACAUUUGUUGCAAGCAUCAUUGUUCUAGCCAUAUCUUCCAAGGUUCUAUUUUUCCUCUCUACCACUCCAUUUUGUUGUGGUGUUCUAGGAGAUGAGAAGUUAUGAUCUAUUCCUUGUGAUGAACAUAAAUCCAAAAAUUUUGCAUUCUCAAAUUCUGUUCCAUGGGCAGACCUUAUGAAAACUAAUGAAGUGCCCAAUUUCUUUUCUAUUUUCUUGAUGAAAAUUUCAAAGACAUCAAAGGCAUCUUCUUUAGAGGCUAGAAACAAAGUCCAGGUGAACCUGGAAUAAUCAUCAACCAUUAUAAAAACAUACCUUUUCCACCUCUGUUUUGUUGUCUCAUUGGUCCACACAAGUCCAUAUGGACCAGUUCAAGACACUUGGUAGUACUAACAUGAUUCUUUGACUUAAAUGAAGAUCUUACCUGUUUCCCCCUUACAGAUGCACUACAUAACUUUUCUUCAUUAAACUUGGUUUUAGGUAACCCUAAUACCAUGCCUUUGGAAUAAAGUAUGUUCAGUUAUUUUAGACUUGCAUGUCCAAGUCUUCUGUGCCAAAGGAGGGGAUCAGUUUCUAUUACACUUAGACAAAUCAAAUCAGUUCCAGGUACUGCCAUUAAGUCUGCUUUGUACACGUUUCUGUAUCUCCUUACAGUAAGCACAAUUUCUUUGGUAUCCAUCCUUUUGACUUUAACCCCUGCAGGAGUAAAAAUUACUUUAUUACCUUUGUCACAUAAUUGUGAGAUGCUCAGCAGGUUAUGCUUUAAUCCUUGCACAAGAUACACAUCUUCCACAACUUUUGAAUAUGAUGUGCCAAUUUUCCCAACUCCAAUGAUGAUUCCCUUUUUUCCAUUUCCAAAAGAAACUCCUCCUCCAUCUAUUUUGGAGAGUGAAAGGAACUUUUUCUUAUCGUCAGUCAUAUAUCUUGAGCAUGCACUAUCUAAGUAUCAGUGCUUUUUGGUUCCCUUCAUCAAUUCCUGCAAGAGAAAUCAAUGGUUAGAUUUAGGAACCCAGACUAGCUUGGCCCUGUUUUGUUGAUAAAAGGAUGAAUUAAAUUCCUUCUAGUCCAUGCAGGAAACACCUAACUUGACCUGUUUCUCUGACCAAUUUUAGUGCUUGUAUUUUUGGUCUGAGAAAAGUUUGUUGCCAGAUUCUGGCUUCUAAUUCUGCUGGUUGCAGCCAUAGGAUAUUCAGUAGUAGGAUGUCUAAGAUUGCCACAAAUAAAGCAUAGAUCUUGUAGAUUAUCAGCUUUUUUUUUUAAAAAAAAACUAAACCUGCUUUUUUAUUAUGAUUUCUUUCACUCAACAAAUGAACAAUUCUUGAAGAAUUUGUCGAUCUGCUAGCUCUUUCCAAAUCCAACUUUAACUUGGCAACUUCUUGACUUAGAUUAUUUAUUUUUUCAGUCAAAUUAUGACAUUCUUGUUUGUACGUAGUUAACUCAAGUUCAGCCUUUUCUUGUUCUUUACUCAUGGUCUUUUUACCAUUUUCAGUGAGUGUUAAUUUAAGAACUUCAGACUUAAGAUCAUUAUUUGAAGACUCUAGCAAUGUGACUUGGUUCUUGAGAGUGCAAUUUUCUUUUUCAACAGAAUAUUUGCAAACUUUCAGAUCAAUGAAAUUAAAUUUUAUACUUGCAAGGCUGUUGAACAGUUCAUCCCUAUCAGAAGUUAAUUCUUGGAGACUGUCAAUUGAAUCACUCAUCAAGGAAAUAAGUCUAGUUUUAGAAAACAGAUGCAAUUUUUCUUUGAGUUCAAGUAAACUUAUCUCAAGAGGAUCAUUUUCUUCCUCAAUGUCUGAAUCUCCAAAAGCCAUAAAUGCUAUCUCAUCUACUUCAUCAUCAUCAGAUUCAGAUCCCCUUGCAGCUAUCAUGGCAUGUUCUUCUUUUUCCUUUCUUUUGGCCCUUUUUUUUUGUUCCUUUUCAACCCUUUCCUUUCUCCAUUCUAUUUCCCAUAGAGGACAUUCUCUGAUCUGAUGAUCAGUUUUUCCACACUUGUAGCAUCCAUUUUGAUUAUUAUUUGAACUCUUCUUGGUACCUUUUCCCUUCUUCUUCCCAAAGAACUUGCUGAAAUUCUUGGUUAUGAAGGCAAUUUGCUCCUUAUCAAGUUCAAAUUCAUCAUCACUAUCAGAAGCUUUUAAAGCUAAGAUAUUAUCAGGGGAUGCUUGUUCUUUGAUUCCAUCAAUUUCCAUUUCAUAGGUCCUUAAUUUUCCUACAAGUUCAUCCAGGGUCAACCCUUUAAGCUCUUUAUUCCCUAAUUGCAGUCACCUUAACAUUCCAUUUUGAUUUAGGUAACACCCUCAGUACCUUUUCAACUUGUUCUUCCUCAGAAAUGACUUUUCCUAACGAAGUUAACUCGUUUGUUAAAGUGGUAAGACUUGUCAUCAUCUCAUGAAGUGUUUCAUUUUCCUUCAUUUUGAAUGCCUCAUAUUCAGUAAACAGGAGAGAAAUUCUGAAUUUUUUUACUUGGGAGGUACCUUCAUGAGCAUUUACCAGUGCAUCCCAAAUUUGUUUAGCCGUAGUACAGGUGGAUAUCUUGUUAUAUUCAGCUGGUCCUAGACCACACACCAAGAUGUUUUUGGCCUUCACAUUUUACUUUAAAGCCAACAGGUCAUCAGGAGUAAAUUCACUCCUUACUUUCUUGACUUGUACUCCAUCAACAGUCUUCAUUGGAAUAGUGGGACCAUCAGUAAUCUUGUCCCAUAAUUCAUAGUCUUCACCUUGAAUGAACAUCUCCAUCCUUGCUUUCUACCAGAUAAAAUAAGAACCAUCAAAGAGUGGAGAUCUAGUGGUUGACUGACCCUUACUGUGACCAGUAAAAGGUAUGGAAUUCAUCAUAUUGAUCCUUUUCUUGGGUGCUAUCCUUAUUUAAGACAACCUCUCUCUGAUACCACUUGUUAGAGUAUGCGUCCUACUAAUUGCCUAUCUGUGGAACAAGUAAGUAAACGUGGUUCACAAAAGUAAACUGAACAUAGUGUUUUUACGUGGAAAACACCCGGCUAAAGAAAGGUGUAAAAAAUCACGACCUGUACCUCUACAGGAUUUAACUCAACUUCACUAAAAUACUUGAGCCUCAACAAUCUACAAAAUUACAAGACUUCUUGUAACCUAGAAAUUAAAACUUCUAACUCCUAUUAAUACAAAAACACUAAUCUUCCCAAGAUAAGUGUUCCCAAGUCUUCGAGUUCCCAAACUUGAAGACGACAACUCCUAACUCAGUUUAUAGAUUACUGAGACUAGAAUCAAUGACUCAUUACAAUACCAGAACCUAACUACUACACAGUUUAUGACCUGCUAAGUAAGAGGCUUGGUUCUUCUUCAAGUAUGUAUGCUGAUUGUUGAUUAACUUUUUAGUACGUGCGUGAGUGCUGGCUUUGAGUCAUGUUUGUUGUAUUUAAGCCAACCUGUGAUAGAGUCCUUUUUUAUGUUCAAUUCUUUCUUCAGUAGAACUCUAUUAGUUAAUUCUUUUCCUUUUUGCUGCCGCCUCACCUCUCCUAGUUUUGAUAGGAUUCUUUUAAUUCAAAUCCUCUUCUUACGGAACUCCUUGAUCAACUUGACUUCGUCAAGACUUCUAGUAUGAUCUAACUCGGCUUCUGAUGUAAUCAAUGUUAUCUAAGUUUGUCUUGAACACAUAAUCAUAUCAUCCAAACUCCUGUGCCAGCUAGACUAUUUCACCUUGAAUGGACCAGCUUCUUCAACGUGUUUCAUUCACAUGUCUAUCAUCAAAACUCCUCAUGCCCUAACACUUACCAUUAAAAUAUGAUUACCCUCAGAUGCAAUAUAUAUAGCCACGUCAUGAACCACAUCAUGCAUUUUGACCAAAUGCUUAUCUCAACCUUGGGAUAGCAAGAAGCCAUCUUUCAGUGUUUCUAAUAGAAGACACAUCCUAUUUCUUGCAUGUUCAAAAUUUUUGAUUUCAGAAAAGAUACCAAGCCCCAUUCCGUAUCGGAGUAAUUCUUCAAUCCUACUAUCACUAUCUUCCUCAAACAAAGAACAAAGCAAAAAGAUGUACCUGGCUUCAUCACUUUCCAAAUGGUAAUAGUUUACCUUCAGAGGUUGAUACACAUUUGUAAGCACUCCUGGGAUGUUUCUUGGUAUGGAUUAUUGUAACUGUUUAAGCGUAUCCUCCCAUGAAGGCUUGGUUUUAUGCUUUAGUGCUCUAGCAACUGUAAUAAUUGCAAGCGGCAACUGCUGGGUUCAUAGUAGAUGAAAGAAGUGUGAAUUGAAAAAUGAAGAGUAAAAGAGUGGAGGGAAGGAGACACUAAAAUGGAAAGUGUACUCCCAAAUUGGCAAGUUUACUCUUUCUCCCACAUUGGUGGAAGAAGAGAAAUUGAGGGUGUUUAUAUUGAGAACACUAACUCCACAAGGUAAGUGAGGCAAGAAAUAAGAGAUGCCUUGCGCCAUCGUCGUCGUUGCUCGCUCGGCUUUGGCUUCAGAAAAUGAUCGAUGAGAUUUAUCUUUUUGGACAAAAUUUAUUUGAUUGAAAUUUAAUCCGAAUAUCAAAGGGAAAACGCUCCAUUUAUAAGCAUGCAUGUAAAUUCGCCACUUUUCCGAAGAGGCAUGUUGUGGCUAUAUAAACCUGGUUUCUUCCACAAGUUUAGUACGAAAAUUUUUAGAUUUAUAAACUCUCUUCUUGUCUUAAAAAUAUUCUAUGUGAUCACUCAAAACGUUCUGUGAGUUCAAAGAUAUUCCAACCGUUUGAGGUACCGCUACUGUUGGUCUAUUUAGCCAUUUUAUCCUGGGAGAAAAAAUUCCACAACCUUGGGUACAGUGAGGGGGAUUAUUUCCUUAAGGAAAAUCCGUGAAUUCGGAUGACUUGGCUAUUUUCUGUUUCAUCUUUAUUUUUUGAAAAAAACAAAUACACCUCCUGGAAAGGUCAUUUUGAUCUUGUGUUAAGGGUAUUUGAUACUUCAUUGUGUUCUUGUUUAUACUUGAACUCGAGUUGAAGUUGUUGUUGUAAUAUACAGAUUCUACAUACCCGAAUAUAUUGUGGGAAGUAAUAAUCUUAAGGAAAAUCUCUUUUACAGAAUCUGUAUUACUUGUUUUUGGAGAUUAACGCUGAAGCUUUCUACUCCGCUUGAAUUUAACUAGUGAUUAGAAGACAUAAAAUCUUCAUCACAAGUUAAGGUUCACUCGGUUGAUGAUUCAAAGUAAUAAAAACUUCAUCGUUAACUAGAAACAUGAAGAAGAGUUUCAAGUUAUUUAACUUUAUAAAUAGUAUUCUGAAAAAAUACUAAGUUUUUUGUCUUGUGGUGAUAGGGAAAAUGACAACUGAAAGUCAAAUGAUGGAUGCGACAACGUCUGUGGGCCCAAAUAAUAUUGCCACAUCAAGUCGCACAAAUGCUCCGCCAACAAUGGCAUCGGCGGAGAAGCCCAAAAAAUUUUUGGGCAUUGACUUCAAGCGGUGGUAGCAAAAGAUGUUCUUUUACCUUACCACUUUAUGUCUGCAACGGUUCAUUAGUGAAGACGCUCCUGAGGUGCCCGAGGGAACCUCGGACAAGACCGCUUCGUUUUUGUAGAAGCUUGGAAACAUUUGAACUUUCUUUGCUAGAAUUAUAUUCUGAGUGGUCUCCAAGACAACCUCUACAAUGUUUAUAGUGGAACCAAGACAUCAAAGGAACUGUGGGGGGCACUUGAACGAAAAUAUAAGAUGUAGGAUGUGGGAAUUAAGAAAGUCCUUGUUGUACGGUUCCUGGACUUCAAAAUGAUUGAUAGUAAAGAUGUUGUCUCUCAAGUACAGAUGUGGCAAGUCAUCAGAUCUCCUAGCAGAAGGUAUAUCUUUGAAAAAUACCUUAGUUGAACAAAUUAAAAAUGUUCUUAAUACUUACAUAAACUAUUUUGUAGGUCUAAUUGUGAAUGAUGCUUUCCAAGUAGCAGCGAUAGUUAAGAAGCUACUACCUUUGAGGAAAGACUUCAAAAACUACUUAAAGCAUAAACGCAAGGAGAUGACUAUUAAAGAUCUUAUUGUCUGACUUCGUAUUGAAGAGGACAAUAAAGCUGUCGAAAAAAGGUCAAAGAGGAAUUCUACAAUUAAUGGAGCACAUAUUGUAGAAGAUGACCAAAAUAAUUCUAAGAAAAGAAAGAAAGUUGAACAUGGAAGCAAUCAACCCAAGAAAAAGUUCAAGGGAAAAUGCUUCAAUUGUGGCAAAAUAGGCCACAAGUCCAUAGAUUGUCGAGCCCCGAAGAAAGGCAAGAAAAGGGAUCAAGCAAAUGUGAUUAAAUCCAACAAAGAAUGCGAUGAUUUAUGUGCUAUUUUCUCAGAAUGCAACUUGAUGGGGAAUCCUCGCUAAUGGUGGAUGGAUUCUGGUGCCACCCAUCAUGUAUGUACCAACAUGGAGUUGUUUUCAUCAUUUGCUCCAGCUCAAGCAGAAGAAAUGCUCUACAUGGCUAACUCCACUACUGCUAAGGUGGAGGGAAUAGGAAAAAUUUAUUUAAAGAUGACUUCCGGCAAGGUCUUGACAUAGAACAAUGUGUUAUAUGUUCCGGAGUUACGUAGGAACUUAAUUUCUGUUUCACUCCUAGAUAAGAACGGAUUCAAAUGUGUAACCGUUUCUGGAAAAAUUAUAAUUAGCAAAGGAGAAAUGUAUGUAGGAAAAGGUUAUCUGAUUGAAGGCCUUUAUAAGAUGAAUGUAAUGACUAUUGAAAUAAAUAAAAGUUCAAAUUCUUCUUAUUUUCUUGAGUCUUAUGAUUUAUGGCAUGAACGUUUAGGCCAUGUUAAUUAUAAAAUGUUACGAAAAUUAAUUAACUUAGAAGUUUUGCUAAACUUUGAGUGCAAUAAAUCUAAGUGUCAAACGUGUGUGGAAUCAAAGUAUGCAGAGCAUCCUUAUAAGUCCGUUGAAAGGAAUUCCAAUCCCUUAGACUUAAUACACAUUGACAUUUGUGAUAUAAAUUCAACACCAUCACGUGGUGGGAAAAAGUAUUUCAUAACUUUUAUUGACGAUUGCACUAGAUAUUGUUAUGUCUCCUUGCUAAAUAGUAAGGAUGAAGCAAUAGAUGCGUUUAGGCAAUAUAAAAUUGAAGUUGAAAAUCAGUUAGACAAAAAAAUCAAAAUGAUAAAAAGUGAUAGGGGCGGAGAAUAUGAAUCUCCCUUUGCACAAAUAUGUGUAGAGAAUGGAAUAAUCCAUCAAACUACGGCCCCAUAUUCACCUCAAUCUAAUGGAAUUACAGAAAGGAAAAACCAAACUUUGAAGGAAAUGAUGAAUGCCUUACUUAUAAGUUCUUGUUUACCACAAAACUUAUGGGGGGAGGCUAUUCUUACGGCCAAUCGUAUACUCAACAGAGUUCCCCAUAGUAAGACACAAUCAAUUUCUUACGAAAAAUGGAAAGGAAGGAAACCCAACUUGAAAUAUUUCAAAGUGUGGGGUUGUCUAGCGAAGGUUCAAGUUCCUAUACCUAAAAGGGUUAAGAUAGGACCUAAAACGGUCGACUGUGUGUUCAUAGGAUAUGCUAAAAGUAGUAAAGCAUGUCGAUUUUUGGUUCAUAAAUCCAAACAUCCGGAUAUUAAUGAAAAUACGGUAAUUAAAUCAGACAAUACUGAAUUCUUUGAAAAUAUUUAUCCGUAUAAAAUUAGACAUGAACGGUCUAGUGGAGGAUCUAAACGACCUCGAGAUGAACCAAGUGAGAGUAUACAUAAUGAAGAAAAUCCAAGACGUAGUACACGUCAAAGAAUGUCAACUUUGUUUGGAUUGAAUUUUGUAACAUUUCUCUUAGAAAUGAGCCUAAAACAUUUAAAGAAGCGAUGUCGUCGUCAGACUCAUCUUUUUGGAAUAAGGCAGUCAAUAGUGAGAUAUAUUCAAUAUUAAGCAACCAUUUAUGAGAAUUGGUUGACCUUCCUCCAGGAAAUAAACCUUUAGGUUCUAAAUGAAUCUUCAAAAAGAAAAUGAAGGUGGAUAGUACUAUUGACAAAUACAAGGCAAGACUUGUAGUAAAAGGCUUCAAAUAGAAGGAAGGCCUUGAUUACUUUGAUACAUACUCGCCAUUAACAAGGAUAACCUUAAUUCGAAUAUCAAUUGCCUUGGCGGCGGUAUGAUCUUCAAAUUCAUCAAAUGGAUGUGAAGACCGCAUUCCUAAAUGGAUAUUUGGAGGAAGAAAUAUACAUGGAACAACCUGAGGAUUUUAUGAUUCCAGGAAAAGAAAAUAAGGUGUGUAAACUUGUUAAGUCACUUUAUGGACUAAAAUAAGUACCUAAGCAAUGGCAUGCAAAGUUUGACCAAACCAUGUUGGCAAGCGGAUUCAAGAUAAAUGAAUGUGACAAAUGUAUAUAUAUUAAAGACACACCAAAUCACUAAGUCAUUGUUUAUUUAUAUGUGGAUGAUAUGUUGAUCAUCAGCAGAGACAUUUGUGACAUAAAUGAAGCCAACUGCCUGCUCGAGAGGAAGUUUGAUAUGAAAGACCUUGGAGUUGCAGAUAUGAUCUUAGGUAUAAAAAUCCAUCAAACUCCACAAGGGUUAGCAUUGUCACAGUCUCAUUAUAUCAAAAAAGUACUUGACAAGUUCAAGUAUAUGAAAUUCGGUACUGCCAAGACUCCAUUGGAUGUGAACUUUGCACUUCGAAAGAAUGAAGGUGAAAGUGACUCACAAUUGGAGUAGCAAGAGUAUUGGGAUAUUUAAUGUAUAUAAUGAACUGUACAUGAUCAGACAUAGCAUGUACAAUUAGUAAAUUGAGCCAAUACACAUAAUCCCAACAAAACUCAUUGGAUGACAAUGAAAAGAGUUUUGGGGUAUGUUAAAUACACUCAAAACUAUGCUUUGUAUUACAAUAAAUAUCCUGCGGUACUUGAAGGAUGUAGUGAUGCAAAUUAGAUCACUGGAUCGAACGAAGUAAAAUCCACAAGUGGAUAUGUAUUUACUAUCAGUGGAGGAGCAGUUUUUUGGAAAUCAUCCAAACAGACUUGUAUCGCUCGCUCUACAAUGGAAUUUAAAUUUAUCGCAUUUGAUAAAGCUGGUGAAAAAGCAGAAUGGCUCUAAAAUUUCUUGGAAGAUAUUUCGUAUUGGCCCAAGCCAGUGGAACCAGUAUGUUACACUGUGAUAGCCAAGUGGCAAUAGGUAGGGCAGGGAGCAUGAUGUAUAACGGUAAAUCUCGUCUUAUAAGAUGAAGACAUAAUACCGUUAGAGAACUCCUAUCCAGUGGAAUUAUCACUAUAGACUAUGUAAAGUCAAAGGAUAAUAUAUCGGAUCCACUUACAAAAGGCCUAUCUAGAGAAGGAGUAGAAAGGACAUCUAAGGGAAUGGGUUUAAGGCCUAGGACAAGUUAGCAUGGCGGUAACUCUACCUAGCAGACUAGAGAUCCCAAGAGCUAGGUUUAAGGAUAUCAAACAAAGUUGUGUCUGAUAGGUUCGACAUUGUCAAAUACACAACCCAUUCUCAUGAUGUAGACAAUGUUAUUGGCCCAAGCCAGUGGAACCAGUAUGUUACACUGUGAUAGCCAAGUGGCAAUAGGUAGGGCAGGGAGCAUGAUGUAUAACGGUAAAUCUCGUCUUAUAAGAUGAAGACAUAAUACCGUUAGAGAACUCCUAUCCAGUGGAAUUAUCACUAUAGACUAUGUAAAGUCAAAGGAUAAUAUAUCGGAUCCACUUACAAAAGGCCUAUCUAGAGAAGGAGUAGAAAGGACAUCUAAGGGAAUGGGUUUAAGGCCUAGGACAAGUUAGCAUGGCGGUAACUCUACCUAGCAGACUAGAGAUCCCAAGAGCUAGGUUUAAGGAUAUCAAACAAAGUUGUGUCUGAUAGGUUCGACAUUGUCAAAUACACAACCCAUUCUCAUGAUGUAGACAAUGUUUAAUAAACAAGGAUAAGACUUCAGGUGAAAAAUCUUUUAAUGAUUAUCUAAAUUUGACAAAUUUGACCAAAUAGUUUAAUCUACAGGAUUGAACAUUUAGAAAUCACCUAUGUGAGGGCGAAGUGGAAACCGCUUCAAGGAGAAUGUUAGUAAAGGCCUAUUCUCUAAGCUCUUAUGAAAACCGGGACAUGUUCAUGGGUGAAAAGAACAAAACCAUGAGAACCAUAAAUGUUAAAAGGCUGGUUGUGUGACGUCUAUUGUCUAGGUGUAUAUUAAAGCUCGACGGUUCAAAGAUAUCAAAUCUACCAAUUGACUGAGUGCAUCCGAUGCAUGUUUACUAUGGAAAGUUCAAAGGGUUUGCCUUUUCAGAAACAGACACCUUUUAGAUGAACCUUUGCCUCUUUUCAGACAUGAAUUUUCAGAAACAUCACACCUUUUAGAUGAACCUUUGCCUCUUUUCAGACAUGAAUUUUCAGAAACAUCACACCUUUUAGAUGAACCUUUGCCUCUUUUCCAGAAGAGGCAUGAUGUGGCUAUAUAAACCUGGUUUCUUCUACAGAUUUAGUACGAAAAUUUUCAGAUUAAUAAACUCUCUUCUUGUCUCAAAAAUAUUCUGUGUGAUCACUUAAAACAUUCUGUUAGUUCGAAGAUAUUCCAACCAUUUGAGGUACCGCUACUGUUGGUUUAGUUAGCCAUUUUAUCCUGGGAAGAAAAAUUCCACAACCUCGGGUACAGUGAGGGGGAUUAUUUUCUUAAGGAAAAUUCGUGAACUCGGAUGACUUGGCUAUUUUCUGUUUCAUCUUUAUUUUCUGGAAAAAACAAAUACACCUCUUGGAAAGGUCAUUUUGAUUUUGUGUUGAGGGUAUUUGAUCCUUCAUUGUGUUCUUGUUUAUACUUGAACUUGAGUUGAAGUUGUUGUUGUAAUAUACAGAUUCUACAUACCCGAAUAUAUUGUGGGAAGUAACAACAACCCCUUGCAUUCUUCUGCAACAUCUUUUGCUAUGUGAAGAAGAGAUGGAUCAUCAACCGAAUCACCAGCUUUCUGCCUGAAAAGGAACCAUGCUUUUUUUUUUCAGAUAAAACUCUAAAUUCUACGAUCUUCUGAGCCUCCAUAACGUGACAAACAUCUUGGAGAUGCAUUGUCAAUGUAACUUUGCACCGGUAGUUGUGGUCGCUACCAGUGGGAAUUCCAAGACUCUUUAGAUCAACAACCUCCCAAACAUCAUCCAAAAUAACAAGGACGCGACUGUCCUUAUACAUUAACCUUGAACCCAGCCGAUCUCCACGCUGCAACAAAUUGUCCCCUUUUAAUGUCAGACCGACUCCUCCGGCGAUCUCAUCUUGUAUUUUCUUAAAAUUUUGUUGUUGACUGACAGUUACCAUGACAACGUCAUUAAACAAUUUUUCUUGUUUAGCCCUUGUUCUUAUUUUCUCAGCUAGUGUUGUCUUACUGACACCACCCAUCCCGCAUAUCCCAACAAUAGCGACCCUUUCAUCUCUCAAAGCUUCCAUGACCUCUUCCUCUUUCUCUUAUCUGGAGUCAAACUUCUCAACAUUGUUAGGUAGAGCCUCAACUUCUAUAGGUGGUACGGGAUAGGAGAAAUCAACAUAAUUGUUGCCUUCAGUUCUAAGUUCAAUCACAUCCAAGGAAAUUUUCGUAGCUCUUCUGCUCAGCUCUGCCUUGCAUUACACCUUUUACAUCUGCAGUAGUGGUAUCAACACUAGUUAACCAAUCCUGGAUGUUUGGUGCAAGUUUAUGUAAGUUUCUCUGGGCAGCCUCCGCUCGUAGAUGCACCCCAUUUCUGACAUUUUCUAGCCUCUGAGAUUCUUUUUCUAGAGAUUUGAUGUUUCUCUUGUAGUAAAAAAAAAUACCCAAACCCUCACGCAACUGGAUGGAUCAAGCAAUCGAUGGAUUUUUCUACAACAAUAGUUAAGAAUUCCAUAGCUGCUAUGGUUUAGUAAUAAGCCUUUUUAGGUGUUUCUUUAAUUAGUUAUUGGGAAGUAAAGGUGAUAUGAAAUGAAUGGUGAAAAAGAAGAAGUGUAAGAGAAUUUGGUGUGAAAGGAAGGCUGAAAGAGCGGCAAUGGAAUAUUUGGUAUGAAAAUGAAAGCUGAAGGAGCGGCAAUGAGGAAUUUGGUAUGAAGAUAAAAGAUCGGAGAGUGGGAAUGGAGAAUUUGGUAUGAAACAAAAGAAUAGCAGUGUUUGAGAAUUUGGUGAAAGAGUGGCAAAGUUGAAUUUAAUAUAAAAAUGAAACAUGCAAUGGAAAAUUUGCUAUGAAACGAAAGAGGUGGAGUGUAGAAUUUGAUAUGAAAAUUAAAGGUGAAAGAGCGGUGUAACAUCCCGCAUUUCGGGCUAGAACGUAAACCAUUAUUCUUUCACAUAGAGGUUGAAAAAUUCAUGAAUACUAUGCAAAUUUAGUGUGUAAUCAAUUAUGUAGUGUUUGAAUCUAGUUGAGCAUGAAUUGAGAUCAUAGAAGUCCCUUAACUCAAAGACGGGUUGAGAACUUUCCUAUCGUUCAAGUUUUAGUGAAUGUUGAAGCUUGGGCCAACUUCAAUUGAUCAUAACUCAAUAUAUAUGAAUAACUUAGUGGCCUACUAUAUAUCAAAUGAAAUAUCUUUGAAUUAGCUUUCCAUCGAUACCAAAUUCGCCUAAAACGGACACUCGGUGAAGAAGUUAGAGCAUUUUUAGUGUCAGCAUUCCCGUUUGACUGGCCACCGUGUUGCGGGGAGCCUUAAAAUGACAAUUGUAAAUUCCAGUAGCUCACUGCAAUUUCCAGCGCGUCGCGGUGAAGCUUUAGACGGCGUUCCAGUCUCGGAUUUUAAAUUCUAAGGCCAAAUUAGACAUUUCCCAUAGCCCCAAACCCAUCCAAACACGGGAUUUAAUCCCAAAUACAGCUAAAUACAUACACUUCCACCAAAAUUCAUCAAGAACGCUCUCUAGGGUUUCAAACAAGAAUCCCAAAUAAUUCAAGAUUCAACCGUGGGUUUUCAAAAGCGAUUGAAGAAUUGGAAUCCCCGCAACGUAGUCUUCAAGAAGCACCUGCUAAUUUCGUAAAUAGAGGUACGUGGAGUUAUCCUAAAAAUCUCAUGGGCUUAAAAAUUCAUGUUUUAAUAAUGGGGGUUUUGAAAUUAUGAAUAUAAAUCACGUUUUAAACGUUUUUGCGAUAUUGAUUUGGUCUUUAGGCCUAUUCCUGAAGUGAUUUGAUAUAUGAUAUAUGUAUGUGCAUGUACUCCGAAAAGAUGUUAACUUGAGAGCAUGAAUCAUAUAAAAUCCCUCUCUUGAUAUGCUUUUGUUUUAAAUUUUCACAUGAUGUGAAUUGUUUGAAAAUCAUCUUGAAAAGCAUGACAUGAAAUGUUUGAAAGUUGUUAUGAUUGGAUAUGAUUUUGACUUGCAAGGAGAGGGUUGUUUAUGUUGAAAUAUUUUGAAUAUAAUGGUUGAAUGAAAAGAAUGAUGUGAUACUGAUGACUUGAAAGUCGGGUAUGACGAUACCCUACAGAACAUGAUAUGUGAUUGUAUUAAAUGGAGUUGAAUGCAUUGAUUUUACAUGAGAUAGGUGGAUGCCUGAAGAAGGCGUUUGAGUGUAAGGGCUCAUCGCUGGAAAUAGUAUUUGCCGACAUGGGAAUUUGGUACCCUGUUUUGUGAUCUUGCGUACCUGACUUUAUGUCAUCCCAAAUUGGGACUAUGGUUAGGAGCCCUGCUUUGUGAUCUUGUGCGCUACCAUACUUUAUUGGGUCGAGAUACCCUGCUGUGUGAUCUUGUGUGUCUUCCCCUCACUUAUACUCUAAUCUCGAUGGCAACCGAAGUUUGACAGUUGGUGUAAAUGUGAUAUGUAGGGUAUUCCACCUAGCUCAGAUGCAUUGCAUUGUUGUUGGAAAAUUAUUACAUUAUGCCCAUGUGCUUUUCAAAUGAUUUGAUACUAAACUGCUUUAUAAUGGCUCUCACUUAUAUUCUAUAAGAAUAUUAUAUUGAUGUUUUGGAUUUCUGUGCGUACCUGUACUUUUGUAGUGACCCUCUUCCCUCCUAGGUUCAGAGGCACAGUUUAGGGGUCCAGAUAAUCAAUUGAUUCUUUAGACAGAUUUGCAGAGUCACUUGGUGAGCCUUCUAUAUUCAGGAAGGCCUGAUGAUGUUUGGCAGUUUUAUUUAUCCUUUAUUAGUUUUUGGGUCUACUGGGCGCCUUGUCCCAAUUUUCAGACAGUACUUUGUUUCAGUCAUGUAGUAGAGAUUUUGCAAACGGUUUUCAAAUGUCGAUAGAGGUUGUGGGACAUUAUUUCCCAUUAUUGAUUUCAUUAUAUUCAUGACCAUGUUUCCGUAAUAUUAUGUAUCUUCAUCAUUUCUUUUUAUCAUAUGAAUUAUGUGCAUGAUUACCGGAUAGAUAGGGGUGUUUCCGACCUUCAUGUUUCGGAAUGCUCGUCACAACCAGGGCCUUUGUUCGGGUCGUCACAAACUUGGUAUCAGAGCACGGUUCAUGGUCCCAGGGUGUUUGCAAAAUUGCGUCGGGUAGAGUCUUGUUUAUGGGUUAGUAGCGCACCAUACUUAUAAGCAAGAAGAUACUAGGUGUUCAGGAGAUAUUUCCUUUUUUUGUGAAUUAUUUCAUGCUUCAGAGUCAAGUCUGUUCCUAAUCAGUAAUCUUUUGUCUUACAAAAAUAACAGUCAUGCCUCCUCGUUGCAAUACUAAUCAGAGUGCUCAGAAUGAUGAAGUCCGUCCCACUCAUGGGAUGAGGACACGUGACAGAGCUCUCACUCCAGACCCUGUCCCUACUCGGGAGUCCCUUUAGUCCCGACCAGCCCACCCCAGGCUCCACGAACCAAUUUUAACCGUCCUCCGACUAAUCAGAGGGAUAUUUCAAAUGCAGAAUUCAGACAAUUGAUUUAUAUGUUAACACAGUUGGUGGAUGCACAGACUCAGUGGUCAGAAGAUACUAGUCUACAUCUGUUACUUCUGGAGCUACACGGGUGAGCCAAUUCAUGAGAAUGAAUCCUCCCAAAUUCACCGAUACUAAAGUAGAAGAGAAUUCGCAGGAAUUUGUAGACGAAAUGAAAAAGAUCUUCAAAGUGAUGCAUGUUGAUGAAGUAAAAGGGGUGGAAUUGGCCAUGUAUCAGCUGAAAGAGGUGGCGAAUCAGUGGUACAAAGAUUGGGAAGAUGCGAAGGGAGACAAUGCAGAGCCUUCGGUAUGGAGUGAGUUUGUAGAUGCUUUCCUUGACCGGUUCUUUUCUUUAGAGUUGCGGGAGGCAAAGGCUGAGGAGUUCAUGAACCUUAAGCAGGGUAAGAUGAGUGUUCAAGAGAAUACUCUGAAGUUCAAUCAGCUGGCCCGUUAUACUCCUGAGAUGACAAAUAGUAUGAGGGCCCGAAUGAGGAAUUUGCGUCCGGCCUUUCAGAGGAUCUGGUACUUGAGUGCCAGGGAGCUAUGUUGAACAAAGAGUUGGACUUUGCUAGGCUGACGGUUCAUAUGCAACAAGUAAAAGAGAAAAAGAAGAAAAUUUCUGAAGCUAGGGAGAUAGAAAGACAGGCGAAAAGAGACAGUUCUACCGACCAGGGUCACAGUCAGCCUCAAAGCGGUAAGUGAGGAAAUAAAUGGCAGAAGAAAAAGAAUUGGGGUAAUGCACAGUCUGCUGCCAGUGCCCCAACGCCCAGACCACCAGCAGACAGACGAUCUCAGAGUUUCCAAACUCAUCAUGGAUCCAGAGCCCCAGAUACUCAGUCGCAAGGCAGUGUGGCCCAGUAGUGUCGUACUUAUCCACGGUGUGAGACUUAUGGAAAGAAUCACCUGGGAAGGUGUUAUUUCGAGGGAGAAACUGUUAUACUUGUGGCAAGGUGGGUCAUCUUCAGAGAGAUUGCCCUUCUGCCGAAGGAAAUGCGAGGGGGGGGGGCCUAAGCCCCAGGCUGCCUCUACGGCUCCUCCUCCUUAGGGUGCCCCUUCAGCUGUCGGGAGUGGUCGUAACUGGUUAUAUGCUUUGGCUAACUGCCAGGAGGUGGAAUCUUUACCAGAUGUUGUCACUGGUACGUUACAGAUCUUUUCCCGUGAUGUUUAUGUAUUGCUUUAUCCCGAGUCUAUCUUAUCUUAUGUGACCCCUUAUGUGGAUGUUGGUUUUGGGUUUGAACCCAAAGUUAUGGUAGAACCCUUCACUGUUUCCACUCUUAUAGGUGAUUCUGUUGUUGCUAGAAGGGUGCAUAGAAAUUGUAUUGUGUCUAUUCUUAGUCGGGAUACUGUGGCAGACCUUAUAGAACUUGAUAUUAGAUUUUGAUGCUAUUCUUGGGAUGGACUAGCUCCAUUCAUGUUAUGCCACACUUGAUUGCAGAACCUAGAGGGUUACUUUUUCUUUCCCGAAUGAGACACCAAUUGAAUGGGCAGGGAAUUCUGUGGCACCUAAAGGUCACUUUAUCUCUUAUCUUGAGCCCGAAGACUUAUCUCCAGAGGUUGUACGUACCAUAUAAUCUGAGUAAAAGAUUCUAGAGUUGAAAAUCUUCCUCUUCAGUCAGUCCCUGUAGUGAAUGAGUUUCCAGAAGUCUUUUCUAAAGAUCUCCCAGGGAUACCACCUGAUAGGAAGAUAGAUUUUGGCAUUGAUGUGUUGCCAGACACUCGUCCUAUUUCCAUUCCGCCAAAUAAAAUGGCUUCCGUGGAAUUGAAAGAGUUAAAAGAAUAGCUCGCAGACCUCCUAGACAAAGGCUUUAUUCGUCCUAGUGUUUCCCCAUGGGGUGCACCCAUACUUUUCGUGCGAAAGAAGGAUGGGUCCCUUCUUAUGUGCAUAGACUACCGCCAGUUGAAUAAGGUCACUAUUAAAAACAAAUAUCCUCUUCAUAGGAUUGAUGAUCUUUUUGACUAGCUUCAGGGUGCUAAGUGUUUUUCGAAAAUAGACCUUCGUUCGGGUUAUCAUCAGUUAAAGGUUAGGGAGUCAGACAUUCCUAAAACAGCCUUCCGAACCCGAUAUGGUCACUAUAAGUUUUUAGUCAUGUCCUUCGGGUUGACUAACGCCCCUGCAACUUUCAUGGAUCUUAUGAAUAGGGUGUUUCAUUAGUUUCUAGACUUGUUCGUCAUAGUGUUCAUUGAUGAUAUUCUGAUCUAUUCCAAAAGUGAGGAGGACCAUGUCAAUCACCUCCGAACUAUCCUUCAGACCCUUCAGGAUCAUCAGUUAUAUACCAAGUUCUCCAAAUGUGAAUUUUGGUUGGAUGCUAUUACCUUUUUGAGGCAUAUUGUAUCUAGUGACGGGAUUAGAGUGGAUCCCCAAAAGAUUGAGGCAGUGAGAAAAUGGCCCAGACCUAUGACUCCAAUUGAUAUUCAGAGCUUUUUAGGCCUAGCAAGUUAUUAUAGAAGGUUCGUAGAGAGUUUUUCUUCCAUAGCUAUUCCACUCACUAAAUUGACUUUGAAAAAGGUAAAGUUUUGUGGUCUGACUCGUGUGAAAACAGUUUCGAGAAGUUGAAAGACAAACUAACUACUACUCCUAUUUUGACUCUUCCCGAGGGUGUAGAUGGUUUUGUGGUUUACUGUGAUGCAUCCUGUGUGGGACUUGGUUGUGUAUUGAUGCAGCAUGGUAAGGUGAUAGCUUAUGCAUCUAGGCAGUUAAAGGUGCAUGAGCGUAAUUACCUCAGUCAUGACUUAGAGUUAGCAACCGUGGUGUUUGCACUUAGAAUCUAGAGGCAUUAUCUCUAUGGAGUGCAUGUUAAUAUUUAUACUGACCACAAAAACUUGCAGUAUGUUUUCUCGCAGAAAGAAUUGAACCUCAGGCAGAGGCAUUGGAUGAAGCUUUUGAAAGACUAUGAUAUGAGCCUGCAUUACCAUCCAGGCAAGGCAAAUGUUGUAGCCGACGCUCUAUGGGAAACCUUUCUCAUGUUAAAGAAGGGAAGAAAGAGAUGGUGAAGGAUAUUCACCGCCUUUCAAAUCUGGGAGUGCGACUCUUAGAUUCCAAAGAUGGAGGGGUGAUUGUUCAUGAGAUAGUUAAUUCAUCCCUUUGUGCUGAAGUUAAAGAAAAGCAGGUUGAAGAUCCCAUCUUGAUGCAAAUCAAGAAAGAUGUAGGUCAACAAAAGGUAAUGUCGUUCGAAAUUGGUGGUGAUGGUAUUCUAGAUAUCAGGGUAGGUUAUGCGUUUCGAAUAUUCAUGGAUUGCGGAAAAGAAUCCUUUAUGAGGCUCACACUUUGAGGUAUGUUGUUCGCCCGGGCUCUACUAAGAUGUACCAUGAUCUGAAAACUUUGUAUUGGUGGAAUAAUAUGAAACACGAUGUAGCUGAUUUUGUUUCCAGGUGUUUGAACUGUCAACAAGUGAAGGUAGAGCAUUUGAGGACAGGUGAACUUAAGUACAACAUUCCACCCUCAGACUGAUGGGAAAGCUGAACGCACCAUUCAGACCCUUGAGGAUAUGUUGAGGGCUUAUGUAAUAGAUUUCAAAGGUAGUUGGGUAGAUAAUUUGCUGUUGGUUGAGUUCUCUUACAAUAAUAGCUACCAUGCCAGUAUUAAUAUGGCACCAUUUGAAGCAUUGUAUGGGAGAAGAUGCAGGUCUCCUAUAGGGUGGUAUGAAGUUGGUGAGACACGGUUGUUUGGGCCUGAUAUUGUUCAUCAGGCAAUGGAGGAUGUGAAAAUCAUCAGAGAAAGACUUAAGACGGCACAGAGCCGUCAGAAAUCCUAUGCCGAUGUUAGAAGAAGAGAGCUAGAGUUUGAGGUUGAAGAUUGGGUAUUCCUUAAAGUUUCUCCCAUGAAGGGAGUUAUCCGCUUCGGGAAGAAAGGUAAGCUGAGUCCUUGCUAUACAGGACCAUAUCAGAUUAUAAAAAGGAUAGGUGGAGUUUUAUACGAGUUAGAGUUGCCUGCAAAUUUGGGUUCUGUUCACCCGGUAUUCCUUAUAUCAAUGUUGAAGUAGUGCAUUAGAGAUCAUUCGAUAGUGUUACCUGUUGAAGAAUUCAAAGUGACCGAUUCCUUGUCUUAUGAAGAAGAGCCUAUAGCAAUCGUAGAUCGUCAAGUGAUAAAGCUGAGGAACAAAUAGAUAGCCUCAGUUAAAGUUUUGUGGCGGAAUAAGAAAGUUGAAGAAGCAACUUGGGAAUCAGAAAACGACAUGAGAGUUAGAUACCCAAGCCUAUUUGAUCCGGUGAAUGCUGAGAUGAAAGGUACAAUUCUUGUCUUAUGUCUUCUUUUAAAUAUCUGAGUAUACUUGAAAUCGUACGUGACUGUAUUCCAUGUCAUCAUUCGGGGACAAAUGAUCCCAACGGGGAUAAUGUAACACCCCACAUUUCGGGCUAGAAUGUAAACCGUUAUUCUUUCACAUAGAGGUUGUAAAAUUCAUGAAUCCUAUACAAAUUUAGUGUGUAAUCAAUUAUGUAGUGUGUGAAUCUAGUUGAGCAUGAAUUGAGAUCAUAGAAGUCCCUUAACUCAAAGACGGGUUGAGAACUUUCCUAUCGUUCAAGUUUUAGUGAACGCUGAAACUUGGGUCAACUUCAAUCAAUCAUAACUCAUUAUAUAUGAUGAACUAGGUGGCCUACUAUAUAUCAAUGAAAGAUAUUCGAAUUAGCUUUCCAUCGAUACCAAAUUCGCCUAAAACGGACACUCGGUGAAGAAGUUAGAGCAUUUUUAGUGUCAGUGUUCCCGUUUGACUGGCCACCGUGUCGCGGGGAGCCUUAAAAUGACAAUUGUCAAUUCCAGUAGCUCACUGUGAUUUCCAGCGUGUCGCGGUGAAGCUUUAGACGGCCUUCCAGUAUCGUAUUUUAAAUUCUAAGGCCAAAUUAGACAUUUCCCAUGGCCCCAAACCCAUCCAAACACGGGAUUUAAUCCCAAAUACAGCUAAAUACAUAUACUUCCACCAAAAUUCAUCAAGAACGCUCUCUAGGGUUUCAAACAAGAAUCCCAAAUAAUUCAAGAUUCAACCGUGGAUUUUCAAAAGCGAUUGAAGAAUUGGAAUCCCCGCAACGUAGGCUUCAAGAAGCACCCGCUAGUUUCGUAAAUAGAGGUACGUGGGGUUAUCCUAAAAAUCUCAUGGGCUUAAAAAUUCAUGUUUUAAUAAUGGGGAUUUUGAAAUUAUGAAUAUAAAUCACAUUUUAAACGUUUUUGCGAUAUUGAUUUGGUCUUUAGGCCUAUUCCCGAAGUGAUUUGAUAUAUGAUAUAUGUAUGUGCAUGUACUCCGAAAAGAUGUUAACUUGAGAGCAUGAAUCAUAUAAAAUCCCUCUCUUGAUAUGCUUUUGUUUUAAAUUUUCACAUGAUGUGAAUUGUUUGAAAAUCAUCUUGAAAAGCAUGACAUGAAAUGUUUGAAAGUUGUUAUAAUUGGAAAUGAUUUUGACUUGUAAGGAGAGGGUUGUUUAUGUUGAAAUAUGUUGAAUAUAAUGGUUGAAUGAAAAGAAUGAUGUGAUACUGAUGACUUGCAAGUCGGGUAUGACGAUACCCUACAGAACAUGAUAUGUGAUUGUAUUAAAUAGAGUUGAAUGCAUUGAUUUUACAUGAGAUAGGUGGAUGCCCAAAGAAGGAGUUUGAGUGUAAGGGCUUAUCGCUGGAAACCGUGUUUGCCGACAUGGGAAUUUGGUACCCUGUUUUGUGAUCUUACGUACCUAACUUUAUGUCAUCCCAAAUUGGGACUAUGGUUAGGAGCCCUGCUUUGUGAUCUUGUGCACUACCAUACUUUAUUGGGUCGAGACACCCUGCUGUGUGAUCUUGUGUGUCUUCCCCUCACUUAUACUCUAAUCUCGGUGGCAACUGAGGUUUGACAGUUNNNNNNNNNNNNNNNNNNNNNNNNNNNNNNNNNNNNNNNNNNNNNNNNNNNNNNNNNNNNNNNNGCUUUUCAAAUGAUUUGAUACGAAACUGCUUUAUAAUGGCUCUCACUUAUAUUCUGUAAAAAUAUUAUAUUGAUGUUUUGGAUUUCUCAGCGUACCAGUACUUUUGUAUUGACCCCCUUCCCUCCCAGGUUCGGAGGCACAGUCUAGGGGUCCAGAUAAUCAGUAGAUUCUUUAGACAGAUUUGCAGAGUCACUUGGUGAGCCUUCUAUAUUCCAGGUUAGGACAAGAGAGCUGCAAUAUUAUUUGGUAGUUUUUUAAUUGUUGGGUCUUCCUGUAUUGUUAGAAAUGAUUACAAUAAAAUUCUUAUUUCUGGUUUGUCUUUUUAUUUUAUUACAAUAAAUUAAUUCAUGUUCACACUGAAUCAAUAUAUAUAUAUAUAUAUAUAUAUAUCUUUUAAAUUAUGAAUUUGAUGCUUCUAUUUCUAAUCCUGCAAAAACUAAUAGAUAUUCUUCUUGAGUUGGAAAAUACAUGUAAUUUAACAGAAGCGCUUUAUUGAUUAAAAAAAAAAACUGCAGUGGCAAAAUAUAUCAUUAUUUUUUGUAUAUGAUCUCAUUUCAUAUUUUAAAAAGUUUUUAACAUCUCAAACACAGUUAUGUUUGUUUUUUUUAAAAAAAUUAAAAUUUACUUUAACACUAGUAAUAGUAGAAAAAAUAGACAUUGCGUAGGUAAAGAUCUUUAGUGCUCAAGUGAGGUGGUAUUCACGAUUAAAAAAAAGAGUAUAAGGUAAUAUUUUAAUUUAUAAAAACCAUCAAUUAAAAGAUGAAAAGGAAUUAUUAUUUUAAUGAUCAUGUAGAGUAGUAGAACAAAGCUUUUCAUCAAAAAGAAGAUGAAAAAUGUCAAUUUAUUUGUUCUUUCAUAUUCAUAUGUCAUGAUUUAUUAAUUUCUUAUGUUUUCUUCGAAUUUGAGACCAAAAUUAAAAUUAAAAUAGUGUUUAUGUGACCAGAAACUCUGAAAAGACCGAUAUAGUUAGUUUGGUUUUAUUGUGACCAAUUACCUCAAUAAAAAAAACAAAUACAAUUUAAAUUAUAGAUAAAGUACCUACCCAAACAAUUAAUAAUCAUAUAUAAUUUUAAAAAAAAAAAGUAUAGACAUUGGGUAAGUAAAUAUCUUUCAUGCUCAAGUUAAAGGUAAAAUUUUAAUUCACAAAACUUUCCACCAAAUAAAAAAAGAAAAAGUAGAGAAGUAGAAGCAGACCUUUUCAUGAAAAAGAGGAUUUGAGUGAGUGAUGGAGUUGUUGACUGUUGGCCAGAAAGUUUGGAACUCAGGUAAGGUGUAGAAGGCCAUGACUUGUAAAUGAGGGAACUCAAUGCCCUCAACAGUGUCAUAGCAAAAGUGAGUGAAGCAUGGUAGACGACGAAGCUCCAACUCAUAUAAAUUUGGGAACUUGAUUAUUCCCUGUCCGAUAUGUGUCUUGUGAGAGAUCUUCGUUUCCUCAUCUUCAGCGGGACAAGCUACUGUCGAACUCCCUCCAGCCCAUGAUACACGAAAGACAUACUGUAGACCACCACACUCGCUUACCUCCAAUCUUUUGAGUUUGGGGAACGGAAUAUUAUUCUAGCAAUAGAUAUUCAGUGAAUGUGUCAAUGAAUCACAUUCAUAGAGGAGGAGAUCUUUCACAUUCUGAAAUUCAUCCUGUUGAGUACAUUCUUGGAGCCCUUUCCUGUUGAAUGUACAACUUCGCUCUGCCUCAACAGGCGGCACAUCCAAUCACCCAAUGGGGCAGUCUCAGUGACCUCUAAACCAAUAAUUUUGCUGUAAUUAUCCAUGCUUGAACUGUCUGUGUCAUCUCCACCCACAUGAAGAAUGUACCGCGUCAACUUGGAGGAAAGGCCCAAGUUACUGUAAAUCACAUCUUCAGAACAUUCAUCUAAUGUCAGUGCGGUCAAUCUCGAUGUGGAUUCCAGCUCCCUCAAGGUGGAGUAACUACAAUCUUGUAUUCCCUCCACAUGUAGUUCCUCCAAUCGAACUAGCCUUGAUAAGACCCCUGGUGAAAUCCUUAUAAGACCUCCAUCCUCCUCCUUCCGAACAAACUCUAACAUAAUUAGAUUGGUCAAUUUUCCAAUCUCCACUGGCAGCUCCACUAAAUAAGACUUUCUGAUGCUGAGAAUUUCUAAAGUGACAAGUUCCCCAAUAAUGGAUAUGUCAUCCAACAUUAAAUCAGUCAAACACAGCGUCCUCAGAUUUGACAACCUCUGAAUGGACGUUGGAAGUGUCUGAAUGAAGGCAUCAUAGUUGACUCCCUCUAUGCUUAAGACAUUGAGUUUGCUCAUUCCAUAAAAAAAAUCAUCCUGCAAUUUGAAUGGAUCUCCAAAACAGAGCUUCAACAUUAGAAGCUUCAAUUUUGGGCAUAAUAUUGGUCCAGGAAGCUCAUCAAAUUUAUUUGCAACAAUUGACAUGUGACUGUAUUGCUCGUAAGAGUCUUUUCUUGGGAACUCUUCCGAGUUCACAUCGUGACUUACCAUUAAAAUAUGAUUACCCUCAGAUGCAAUAUAUAUAGCCACGUCACGAACCACAUCAUGCAUUUUGACAAAACGUUUGUCUGAACCUAGGGAUAGCAAGAAGCUAUCUUUCAGUGUUUCUAAUAGAAGACACAUCCUAUUUCUUGCAUGUUCAAAAUUUUCGAUUUCAGAAAAGAUGUCAAGCCCCAUUCCGUAUCGGAGUAAUUCUUCAGUCCAAAUAUCUCUAUCUUCCUCAAACAAGGAGCAAAGCAAAAAGACGUACCUGGCUUCAUCACUUUCCAAGUGAUUGUAGCUUACCUUCAAAGGUUGAUACACAUUUGUAAGCACUCCUGGGAUGUUUCUUGGUGCUGAUUUUUGUAACUGUUUAAGGGCAUCCUCCCACGAAGGCUUGGUUUUACGCUUUAGUGCUCCAGCAACUGUAACAAUUGCAAGCGGCAACCCCUUGCAUUCUUCC
rnacentral:lncRNA from 1 species